CGGGACGGGUGAGUAAUGUAUGGGGAUCUGCCUGAUGGAGGGGGAUAACUACUGGAAACGGUAGCUAAUACCGCAUAACGUCGCAAGACCAAAGAGGGGGACCUUCGGGCCUCUUGCCAUCGGAUGUGCCCAGAUGGGAUUAGCUAGUAGGUGGGGUAACGGCUCACCUAGGCGACGAUCCCUAGCUGGUCUGAGAGGAUGACCAGCCACACUGGAACUGAGACACGGUCCAG
rnacentral:rRNA from 1 species